CACCCGGGACGGCAAGCGUCUGAAAGGGGGGCGCGGCUGGAGAUUGGAACAGGGCCGGCCAUGCACACCCCGGGGAAGCGCGGGGCCGGAUGUCGGGGGACAUCCGGCCCCUUUUUU
rnacentral:antisense_RNA from 1 species